AUUGAACGCUGGCGGCAGGCCUAACACAUGCAAGUCGGACGGUAGCACAGGGGAGCUUGCUCCUCGGGUGACGAGUGGCGGACGGGUGAGUAAUGCCUGGGGAUCUGCCCGAUAGAGGGGGAAAACCACUGGAAACGGUGGCUAAUACCGCAUAACGUCGCAAGACCAAAGAGGGGGACCUUCGGGCCUCCAACUAUCGGAUGAACCCAGAUGGGAAUAGCUAGUAGGCGGGGUAACGGCCCACCUAGGCGACGAUCCCUAGCUGGUCUGAGAGGAUGACCAACCACACUGGAACUGAGACACGGUCCAGACUCCUACGGGAGGCAGCAGUGGGUAAUAUUGCACAAUGGGCGCAAGCCUGAUGCAGCCAUGCCGCGUGUAUGAAGAAGGCCUUCGGGUUGUAAAGUACUUUCAGCGGGGAGGAAGGCGAUGUGGUUAAUAACCGCGUCGAUUGACGUUACCCGCAGAAGAAGCACCGGCUAACUCCGUGCCAGCCGCCGCCGUAAAAC
rnacentral:rRNA from 1 species